UAUAUUUUCAUGAAAUAUGCAAUAAAAUGAAAGUGGAAAGUCCCAACUUACAGAAUUAUAAACGUGGGUAAGAACUUAGAGUACUUUAAUGAAAUUAAGCAAACCAUCUGCCAAGUACCUAAUUACCUACCCAAUGACCAUUUUCUUCUUCUCUAUUAACAAAACUCUGAUUUUAAGUGAGUUACAACCCACCUAGCUCAAGAAAGAAAGCUACAUUUGCAGCUACUGCUAUGGGAGAGAGACGACAAAGUGAUCUGGCUUGCCCGUUAAGUGCAAAGUCACUCUGAAGCCACACAACACCCCCAAAAUGAAAGCAAGGUUACCUUUGCGGAAGAGGAAGGGCCCGAUGGCACCGUGUGUCUCCUGGGAUUUUGCUCGCAUCGCCUGGAAGGUCUUCAUAUAAUAUGAACUUCACAUUUUCCUCAUCAAUAUGUUUGUUCCAAUUGAUUGCAAAAUCAAAGUAACUUCCCCAAGAAACUAAAAAGCAC